UACGGAGGGUGCAAGCGUUAUCCGGAUUCACUGGGUUUAAAGGGUGCGUAGGUGGGUUGGUAAGUCAGUGGUGAAAUCUCCUGUCUAACAUGGAAACUGCCAUUGAUACUACUGAUCUUGAAUUUUCUGGAGGUAAGCGGAAUAUGUCAUGUAGCGGUGAAAUGCUUAGAUAUGACAUAGAACACCAAAUUGCGAAGGCAGCUUACUACAGGGAGCAUUGAUCACUGAGGCACGAAAGCGUGGGGAUCAAACAGG
rnacentral:rRNA from 1 species